CCUACGGGUGGCAGCAGUGGGGAAUAUUGGACAAUGGGCGAAAGCCUGAUCCAGCCAUGCCGCGUGUGUGAAGAAGGCCUUCGGGUUGUAAAGCACUUUCAGUGGGGAAGAAAGCCUUGGGGCUAAUACCCUCGAGGAAGGACAUCACCCACAGAAGAAGCACCGGCUAACUCCGUGCCAGCAGCCGCGGUAAUACGGAGGGUGCGAGCGUUAAUCGGAAUUACUGGGCGUAAAGCGCGCGUAGGCGGUCUGAUAAGCCGGUUGUGAAAGCCCCGGGCUCAACCUGGGAACGGCAUCCGGAACUGUCAGGCUAGAGUGCAGGAGAGGAAGGUAGAAUUCCCGGUGUAGCGGUGAAAUGCGUAGAGAUCGGGAGGAAUACCAGUGGCGAAGGCGGCCUUCUGGACUGACACUGACGCUGAGGUGCGAAAGCGUGGGUAGCAAACAGGAUUAGAUACCCGUGUGUC
rnacentral:rRNA from 1 species